CCUUGACAUCCAGAGAACUUAGCAGAGAUGCUUUGGUGCCUUCGGGAACUCUGAGACAGGUGCUGCAUGGCUGUCGUCAGCUCGCGUUGUGAAAUGUUGGGUUAAGUCCGCAACGAGCGCAACCCUUAUCCUUUGUUGCCAGCGGUUCGGCCGGGAACUCAAAGGGGACUGCCGGUGAUAAACCGGAGGAAGGUGGGGAUGACGUCAAGUCAUCAUGGCCCUUACGGCCAGGGCUACACACGUGCUACAAUGGCGCAUACAAAGAGAAGCGACCUCGCGAGAGCAAGCGGACCUCAUAAAGUGCGUCGUAGUCCGGAUUGGAGUCUGCAACUCGACUCCAUGAAGUCGGAAUCGCUAGUAAUCGUAGAUCAGAAUGCUACGGUGAAUACGUUCCCGGGCCUUGUACACACCGCCCGUCACACCAUGGGAGUGGGUUGCAAAAGAAGUAGGUAGCUUAACCUUCGGGAGGGCGCUUACCACUUUGUGAUUCAUGACUGGGGUGAAGUCGUAACAAGGUAAGCGUAGCGAG
rnacentral:rRNA from 1 species